CCUAUGGGGUGCAGCAGGCGCGAAACCUUCGCAAUGCGCGAAAGCGCGACGAGGGGAGCCCGAGUGCCCUUCCUUCGGGGAGGGCUUUUCUGGAGCCUAAAAAGCUCCAGGAAUAAGGGCUGGGCAAGACGGGUGCCAGCCGCCGCGGUAAUACCCGCAGCUCAAGUGGUGGCCGCUAUUAUUGAGCCUAAAGCGUCCGUAGCCGGACCCGUAAAUCCCUGGGUAAAUCCUGGCGCUCAACGUCAGGAAUUCCGGGGAGACUGCGGGUCUUGGGACCGGGAGAGGUCGGAGGUACUCCUGGGGUAGCGGUGAAAUGCUGUAAUCCUGGGGGGACCACCUGUGGCGAAAGCGUCCGACUUGAACGGCUCCGACGGUGAGGGACGAAGGCCAGGGGAGCAAACCGGAUUAGAUACCCGGGUAGUCCUGGCUGUAAACGCUGCCCGCUUGGUGUUGCCGGUCUUUCGGGGGCCGGCAGUGCCGGAGCGAAGGUGUUAAGCGGGCCGCUUGGGGAGUACGGCCGCAAGGCUGAAACUUAAAGGAAUUGGCGGGAGAGCACUGCAACGGGAGGAGCGUGCGGUUUAAUUGGAUUCAACGCCGGAAACCUCACCGGGGGCGACCGGCAUAUGUGGGUCAAGCUGGCGACUUUGCCCGAAUAAGAGCCGGAGAGGUGGUGCAUGGCCAUCGUCAGCUCGUACCAUAGGGCGUUCACUUAAGGUGUGAUAACGAGCGAGACCCCCAUUCCCAGUUGCCACCUGUCCCUCCGGGGGCAGAGCACACUGGGAAGACCGCCAGCGCUAAGCUGGAGGAAGGUGGGGUCAACGGUAGGUCAGUACGCCCCGAAUCCCCCGGGCUACACGCGCGCUACAAAGGGCGGGACAAUGGGCUGCGGCCCCGAAAGGGGGAGCUGAUCCUGAAACCCGUCCGUAGUUCAGAUCGAGGGCUGUAACUCGCCCUCGUGAAGCUGGAUUCCGUAGUAAUCGCGGGUCAACAUCCCGCGGUGAAUGCGCCCCUGCUCUUUGCACACACCGCCCGUC
rnacentral:rRNA from 1 species